rnacentral:lncRNA from 1 species
UGAUUUGAGAGCAAUGUAAAGUUUGAAGGAAAAGAAUAGACUCUUUGUGUUUAAGUGAAUUGUCUUAUUGGGAUAAGUAGAGAAGCCUCUAGCUCAAGUUAUCAAAGUCUUGGCCCCCACCAAAAAAAAAAAAAAAAAAAAAAAAAAAAAAAAAAAAAAAAAAAAAAAAAAAAAAAAAAAAAAAAAAAAAACGAAAAAAAAAAAUGAGAAAAGAAAGAAAAAGGGGGCUAGCAAAAUUGUUAGGAGCU